AGGGGAAGGCCGGAUCCUGGGCCGUGUGCCCCGUGCCCUGUGCUCCCGUACCUGUGCUGUUGGAUUCACGCUGCCGGCCGACAGCCCCCU
rnacentral:pre_miRNA from 1 species